GUUCAGCUGUACACAGUUGAUUUCUCCACAUAUUAAGAUCAGAAAUAAUGUGCCAUGGGGUGAUCUUUGAGUUCAGUUGCAGGCAGUCAAUUUGUCCACAUAUUAAGAUCAGAGAUAAUGUGCCAUGGUGACAUGUGUAUAACUGAAAUUCAGAAUGAACUCAAUCUACCAUGUGAGUGCCUGCGAUACACUCAGGUUGCAGUUUCUCAAAUACUGAAUGUUUAGUCCCUUGAGACUCCAUAUUGGCUCAACUUGCAGUUUUCUGAACUCUAUUUCAGAAUGUUAUACCCGAUGUCUCGGCUUGCAAUUUUUGGUGUUGCUUCUGUUCUUUGGUGACAGUUAGCUAUCUGAAUGGUUUAGCAAAGGAUAGCUACAUAGUAUGGCAAAGUACAUUUGGUAUCCCGCUGAAGCUGAAAACAUACAGAGCACCUGUAAUUAGUUUUUGGUCGACGAAUUUCAGCUAGAUUAUAGUGUUGCGGCUCUGAACUGUGGUGAUUGUGUGUGAGUGGAAUUUUAGCUAGGUCGCUGCCCUCGCGCCCUUCACUGCGGGAGCCGGAGCCGCCCACCGCUCGAGCCGCUCAGCUUGCCCUGGCCUCCGCCCCGCCGCCCCCGGUCCUAUUCUGCCCCCACGCGAUUCGACGAUGAGGACGCUAGCGGAGAACCCGCUGCUACAAAUCCUCACGCUCGCCUCCACCAGUCACAUGGUCUCCAGUCAUCAAGACACCCCCACCCUCCUCGACUGCUGCUGGUGCUGCCGGCACCACUAUUCUUCCUCUCGAUCCGGUUCCGGCGAGGAACCCAUCACCGCGCCGACCAGUCCAAGGAACUCACAUCACCUCCAUCAAGGAAAACAAUGACCUAUGUGAUUACAAAUAUGUGCUUGCUUCUUCAUGAAGAGCCAAAAAAGAAGUAUAGACGUUGAUGCAAAUGUAUGGAGCAUGGUCACCAACAGAUCCACACAUUUGGUCAGUGAUGAAUCAAUGCAACCUAUUGUGGGAGGGGAGGAUAUUCGAUCUGAGUAUGUCAGAGAGGAGGAGCAAGACGGAAUUAAUAAGGCAAGAAUUGUUUCCCUUUUAGUUUGGAUCUCUGUUGCUUCAUGAUGAUAUUAUCUAACUGAUGAAAAGGGAACGUUGUACGUGACUGAUGAAAGAGUUGUUUCGCCUCACCAGGCAAGAAACUUUUGACCCAUCCCUGCAAUGUAUUUUCAUAGUGCCCUUGUAUAAGUAAAUGGAAGGAAUUCUAAAUGAUGAAGAGUGUCUUAUUGCAUUAGUUUUUUAUAUCUGCAGAGUGAGCACAUGACUUUCUUCCCUGCCUUUACUUACUAAUGAAAAAUAAACAUCAAUGCAUGUUAUCUUUACUAAAUUAAUAACACUAAGUAGGAAUUCAGAAUAAUAACAUAUUAAUAACAACGGGUAGGAAUUCUGAAUAAAAAUAGUGCAUGAGAAAUAUGGCAUGCACCUUAACAUAGAAAUGUUCUUUUUAAUUGCUCAUAUGUUAAUGUUGCAAAUGUUCUUUUCUUGUUCUCUUAAUAAUGGUUUUAGACGGAGAGCUGCGCCCAUGUUGUAUGCCAACAUUGGUCCUUAGAUUAGUCAAUUUUUGUUGCAGCAUAUGUUAUCUAUAGAUUUUUUUAGAAUGUCUAUGAAGUUUCAUCUGCAAGCUUUUGAUCCUAAUGGCUACAUCCUUAUAAGGUUAUUUCUUGUUUGUAAGAUGAAUAGUACCUAUGUCAAGACUCAAGACUCAAGAGAAGCAAGAGUGCAUAGCAGUAGCAGUUGUUCAACCAAGGUAAUCACUUGAACCGAAUAUUUCUAAAUUAUAAUUAAAAGAGGACAGGUUCUUACAAAUCUAACAUAUUCCUUUUGAUUCUUGAUCUUGUUUCAUAUAUAGCUUAGACGUAGCAUGUCAUGUAUGAAUUUAUUUCCACUGGGUGGAAGCAUUUUAUGCUCUUACCUUUGUGCUUUUAAGACUUUUCAUUUUAGCUUUAUUAGUCAGGACGUGCAUUGCAUGUACACGAUUAACAGGUACAAAAUGCCAAACCGGUAAAAGCGCACUUUAUUAUCAAUUCAGUCCACAUGGUUUGUGCAACAUUUGCAUGUAAGAGUAGAUUUGCAUGUGUUCUUAUUUUUUAUGGCUAAUUAGCUAAACACAAUUGCUACAUAGUGGUUCCACUUGCUGACAACGGUGAGGUGCAAUGGAGAUUGCCCUAAGAUACACAAAUAUAUUGCUGAAUUUAGCAAAGUUGUCUUGAGCUAACUCUUCUAACUUCUACAAUAGCCAAUAUACAUGGCAUGUUGUUCUCCAGACAGAGGUCAAUUCAUUUUUUACUGUCAUUGUCUAUUGCUUCCCAGAUAAGCACAUGCUGACUUUUAUAUUAUCAUUCUAGAUGUAUCUUGUGUUACAAGUUGUCAGAUCAUUGUUGAUGCUGAUACAUCACUAUGACUUUUGAAGAUGCUCUUAUCCCUUUUGUUUCAACAUGUCUUCUUUGCUUUCAAUUAAUCUUGUGUGAAUUCAAAGCCAACACAAAGUGCCAUUUUUUUUGUUCUAGCAUGUCUUCUUUAUACUCCCUCUGUAAAAGGCUUUUAUAUUUCUUUACGGAGGAAGUAUUUGUAAAAGGCACAUUACAUAUUUUUAAAAUUUGACGUGACUAACUGAGCUUGCAUAAUUCAGUUCAUCAUAGAUUAUCCAAUGUGACGUAGUAAAAGGCACAUUACAUAUUUUUAAAUUUGACGUGACUAACUGAGCUUGCAUAAUUCAGUUCAUCAUAGUUUAUCAAAUGUGACAUAGACAAUAGAAUAUAGAUGGCUUAGAAGGGUUCUAUGAGCAAGGAUUUUCUUUGGGCGGAGACGUGCAUUGCACGUGCAAGCUUACUAGUAAUAUAAAAUAAAACAACUGACUGCAAUAAUCUGGUAGGAAAAAAGGAAUUAGUCUCACAUGUACACAAUCAUCAUGCUUAAUCCCACAUGUGAAGAAUGGGCGCGAUGAAGCUCACAUUAGCCUCUAGUCAUACAGGCACAUAAUUGCUAAAUCUCAGUCGAUUAAGACUUAAGCAAGUCUAAGUUGAUACUAUAUUUAUAAUAUCUUAUGUGGAGAUCCGUGAAAAUUUUAUCAUUUUCAUUUUUUUCUUUCAGUUUUGCUAAAGCACAUCUAGAUGUGCUAUAACUAUUGUACAUAUAAGUCUUAUGUUAUUGAUCUUAUGUUAAGAUCCGUGUAUGAUAUUUUCUUUUUCUUUUUUCCCUUUCUCUCUGCUUAAUUCACUCACUUUGAUAUGAAUAACUAGAACACAUCUAGAUGUGUCCUAGACACACCCUUUUUCUUUACAUGCUAUGCCACACUCCUAGUCAUAAGUGAAGGCUGCUGAGGUAACGAGAGAUCUACGUAUCCGAGUCAUUAAAAUACUAGCC